GUGCCAGCCGCCGCGGUAAUACAGAGGUCCCAAGCGUUGUUCGGAUUUACUGGGCGUAAAGGGUGCGUAGGUGGCGAGGUAAGUUCGAUGUGAAAUCUCCGAGCUCAACUCGGAAAUGGCAUUGAAUACUAUCCCGCUUGAGGGUCGGAGGGGAGACUGGAAUUCUCGGUGUAGCAGUGAAAUGCGUAGAUAUCGAGAGGAACACCAGUGGCGAAGGCGAGUCUCUGGACGACUCCUGACACUGAGGCACGAAAGCUGGGGGAGCAAACAGGAUUAGAAACCCUCGUAGUCC
rnacentral:rRNA from 1 species